rfam:Toxocara canis scaffold279, whole genome shotgun sequence.
CGGGCAGUAGCUCAGUGGUAGAGCUACCGCUUGGUAAGCGGGAAGACCCGGCUUCGAUUCCCGGCUGCUUAC